rnacentral:lncRNA from 1 species
AUAAAUAAUAAGAUAAAAAGGAAGGAAGGAAGGAAGGAAGGAAGGAAGGAAGGAAGGAAGGAAGGAAGGAAGGAAGGAAGGAAGGAAGGAAGGAAGGAAGGAAGGAAGGAAGGGAAAGGAAAGGAAAGGAAAGGAAAGGAAAGGAAAGGAAAGGAAAGGAAAGGAAAGGAAAGGAAAGGAAAGGAAAGGAAAGGAAAGGAAAGGAAAGGAAAAAGGAAAGGAAGAAAGAAAGGAAGAAAGAAAGAAAGAAAGAAAGAAAGAAAGAAAGAAAGAAAGAAAGAAAGAAAGAAAGAAAGAAAGAAAGAAAGAAAGAAAGAAAGAAAGAAAGGAAGAGAGAGAGAGAGAAAUAAGGAAGGAAGGAAGGAAGGAAGGAAGGAAGGAAGGAAGGAAGGAAGGAAGGAAGGAAGGAAGGAAGGAAGGAAGGAAGGAAGGAAGGAAGGAAGGAAGGAAGGAAGGAAGGAAGGAAGGAAAGGUAGGAAAGGCAGGGAAGGCAGGAAAGGAAGAAAGGAAGAAAGGAAGGAAGAAAGGAAGGAAGGAAGGAAGGAAGGAAGGAAGGAAGGAAGGAAGGAAGGAAGGAAGGAGGAUGACAAGGAUUCAAGAGUAAAUUGCUAUUUAAAUGAACACAGUGAUUGAAAUUCCUUAUGAAAUGCCGACCCCAAACAGGAACUUCUUAAUUAGUGAAAAUGUCUUAGAACAGUCAUCCUUAAUAUGAUAAGGUAGCUGGUGUAGAGGUGGAGCAUAUUAGAAAGUGAGCAAGAAGUGAAGCAGAUGAAGAGGAGAACCUUAUGUGUUAGCUUCCCAUUUAAAUGAAUUUGUUAAUAUGCCUUCUAUUUUCCUUUAUAUUAAGUGUGUCAAUAUUUAUAUUGAUGCAAUGGUAUUAACUUUUUUGUUCAUUGGAUAAACUAUGUCUCUUUUUUCCAUCACUCUGUCAAUAUGAAGACUAGAGGCUUUAGAUUCAAGUUUCUGUCCAAUGAAGAAAUAAUAUGAAAUAAUAUCUAAGGUACUUUUCACUUCAAAAAGUCAGUAAUACUGUGAAAUCAACUACCUUCAUACUGGCCCAGGACACUGUGAUAAUACUAAUAUUUUACUACACUCAUGAUACUCUGAUAUUCAGCUUAGUAUCAAUAUCACAUUAUCUAUUUUAAAAUAUUAUGCUACUUGAUCUAGUAAUUUCUAGUUAUUUAGGGACUUUGUAAGGAUAAUUUAGGAUUGCAUAAGUUUGAUUUUUGGUCACCAGGGGAUAUCCCAAAUAAAAUACCCAAGUCAAUAUGGAAAUCUAUGGUG